rnacentral:sRNA from 1 species
UGCAUCUGAAGCCUGACGAGGAUGAGAACCUCCGGGGGCAGGAGGUUCGACUCGAGCGCAGCGAGAGAACGUUGCGUCAGCAACGGCCCGCAGGGCGAGCCACGC